rnacentral:rRNA from 1 species
UAGGGAAUCUUCCGCAAUGGGCGAAAGCCUGACGGAGCAACGCCGCGUGAGUGAUGAAGGUCUUCGGAUCGUAAAACUCUGUUAUUAGGGAAGAACAAAUGUGUAAGUAACUAUGCACGUCUUGACGGUACCUAAUCAGAAAGCCACGGCUAACUACGUGCCAGCAGCCGCGGUAAUACGUAGGUGGCAAGCGUUGUCCGGAUUUAUUGGGCGUAAAGCGAGCGCAGGCGGUCAAUUAAGUCUGAUGUGAAAGCCCCCGGCUCAACCGGGGAGGGUCAUUGGAAACUGGUUGACUUGAGUGCAGAAGGGGAGAGUGGAAUUCCAUGUGUAGCGGUGAAAUGCGUAGAUAUAUGGAGGAACACCGGUGGCGAAAGCGGCUCUCUGGUCUGUAACUGACGCUGAGGCUCGAAAGCGUGGGGAGCGAACAGG